rnacentral:rRNA from 1 species
AGUGAACGCUGGCGGUAGGCCUAACACAUGCAAGUCGAACGGCAGCACAGUAAGAGCUUGCUCUUACGGGUGGCGAGUGGCGGACGGGUGAGGAAUACAUCGGAAUCUACUUUUUCGUGGGGGAUGACGUAGGGAAACUUACGCUAAUACCGCAUACGACCUACGGGUGAAAGCAGGGGAUCUUCGGACCUUGCUCGAUUGAAUGAGCCGAUGUCGGAUUAGCUAGUUGGCGGGGUAAAGGCCCACCAAGGCGACGAUCCGUAGCUGGUCUGAGAGGAUGAUCAGCCACACUGGAACUGAGACACGGUCCAGACUCCUACGGGAGGCAGCAGUGGGGAAUAUUGGACAAUGGGCGCAAGCCUGAUCCAGCCAUACCGCGUGGGUGAAGAAGGCCUUCGGGUUGUAAAGCCCUUUUGUUGGGAAAGAAAAGCAGCAGGUUAAUACCCCGCUGUUCUGACGGUACCCAAAGAAUAAGCACCGGCUAACUUCGUG